GACGAACGCUGGCGGCGCGCUUAACACAUGCAAGUCGAACGGAAAGGCCUGCUUUCCCUUGUGGAUUGCGGGUACUCGAGUGGCGAACGGGUGAGUAACACGUGAGUGAUCUGCCCCCAACUUGGGUAUAAGCCUGGGAAACUGGGUCUAAUUCCCGAUAGGACUGCAGGGUGGUGCCUGUGGUGGAAAACGAUUUUCUAGUGGUUGGGGAUGAGCUCGCGGCCUAUCAGCUUGUUGGUGGGGUAAUGGCCUACCAAGGCGGCGACGGGUAGCCGGCCUGAGAGGGUGGACGGCCACAUUGGGACUGAGAUACGGCCCAGACUCAGACGGGAGGCAGCAGUGGGGAAUAUUGCACAAUGGGCGGAAGCCUGAUGCAGCGACGCCGCGUGGGGGAUGACGGCCUUCGGGUGGUAAACUCCUUUCGACCGCGAGGAAGCCACCUGGUUGGAAGGGUGGUGACGGUAGUGGUAGAAGAAGCACCGGCUAACUACGUG
rnacentral:rRNA from 1 species